AUAAGCCACCGAAAGGUGGUCUAAUACCUUAUAGUAUCCAUCUCGUAUGGAUUAAAGCUUUAUGCGCUUUGGAGGGGCCUGCGUUUGAUUAGCUAGUUGGUGAGGUAAAAGCUCACCAAGGCGACGAUCAAUAGCUGGUUUGAGAGGAUGACCAGCCACACUGGGACUGAGAUACGGCCCAGACUCCUACGGGAGGCAGCAGUAAGGAAUCUUCCACAAUGGGGCAACCCUGAUGGAGCAAUACCGCGUGCAGGAUGAAGCGUUUCGGCGUGUAAACUGCUUUUAUCACCGAAGAUUAUGACUGUAGGUGAAGAAUAAGGACCGGCUAACUACGUG
rnacentral:rRNA from 1 species